CAGUUGGGAGGAAAUGGGCGUUGCUGAAACUCCUAAGCUGCAAGGGAACUACAGAAAAGGACAGCAUUUUAUUCACAAAGUGCUUGGAUACAGAGGAGUAGUGAUACGUUCCUUUACACCUGAAGUCUUUGAGAGCAGCGUAUUAAACAGCACCCUGGACAGCUGCAGAGAAACUAUCCAUGCAGGCUCAACAGUGACUGGAAAACCACAUAAAUAUUACCUUGCCUUAGUGGACAGAUGUGACCUGG